rnacentral:rRNA from 1 species
GAUGAACGCUAGCUACAGGCUUAACACAUGCAAGUCGAGGGGAAACGAUAUUGGAAGCUUGCUUCCGAUAGGCGUCGACCGGCGCACGGGUGAGUAACGCGUAUCCAACCUGCCCACCACUUGGGGAUAACCUUGCGAAAGUAAGACUAAUACCCAAUGAUAUCUCUAGAAGACAUCUGAAGGAGAUUAAAGAUUUAUCGGUGAUGGAUGGGGAUGCGUCUGAUUAGCUUGUUGGCGGGGUAACGGCCCACCAAGGCGACGAUCAGUAGGGGUUCUAGGAGGAAGGUCCCCCACAUUGGAACUGAGACACGGUCCAAACUCCUACGGGAGGCAGCAGUGAGGAAUAUUGGUCAAUGGGCGAGAGCCUGAACCAGCCAAGUAGCGUGCAGGAUGACGGCCCUAUGGGUUGUAAACUGCUUUUAUAAGGGAAUAAAGUGAGUCUCGUGAGACUUUUUGCAUGUACCUUAUGAAUAAGGACCGGCUAAUUCCGUGCCAGCCGCCGCGGUAA